AAUAUAAUUUAACUAUGACAAUGGGUUGCCC
rnacentral:tRNA from 1 species